GGCAGGUUCAUCCCACACUUCAGGAUGUUAUGGAUCUCUUGCAUUUUCCAGCUGUCUUGUGAAUUUCUUGUCACGUGACAUCUUUUCUCCUUUGUAUUAUUUUUUGCAUCCCUUUUCCUCCACCUCAGGCUUCCGGAUCAUCAGCCCCACGGUGCCAGGUGACUUGCUCCCGUUCAGCAUAAUUGAGUCUCCACAUUCACUUGAAACUUGGGCCCCUGAGGAGCUGGCCAAGCCUGUUAGAACGGCUUCUCUUCUCCACCCAAGUGGGGAAUACAGCACUUUAAGAAGAAAAGGACGGAGGAGCAGGGUUAGAACGGGCAUCAGAAACAGUUCUCACUGCCCUCCCUCCUCCGAAGACCUCGAGUGCUUUGUUCCUCCUUCAAGGUCAGUGCAUAUACUUGUGUAUUUGCCUUAGUUCCUUUCUAUAUAGCAGGAGUUCCGACUUGCAUCUGUGAUUACUGCAGUGAUUAAUUCCCGAG
rnacentral:lncRNA from 1 species